GUGCUCACUUCGGCAGCACAUAUACUAAAAUUGGAACCAUACAGAGAAGAUAAGCAUGGCCCCUGCACAAGGAUGACACACAAAUUCGUGAAGUGUUCAGACAAGAU
rnacentral:snRNA from 1 species